CCUACGGGGGGCAGCAGUGAGGAAUAUUGGUCAAUGGACGAGAGUCUGAACCAGCCAAGUAGCGUGAAGGAUGACUGCCCAAUGCGUUGUAAACUUCUUUUAUAUGGGAAUAAAACAGGGUAUGCAUACCCUCUUGUAUGUACCAUAUGAAUAAGGAUCGGCUAACUCCGUGCCAGCAGCCGCGGUAAUACGGAGGAUCCGAGCGUUAUCCGGAUUUAUUGGGUUUAAAGGGAGCGGAGGCGGAUUGUUAAGCCAGUUGUGAAAGUUGGCGGCUCAACCGUAGAAUUGCAGUUGGAACUGGGGGACUUGAGUGCAGUGGAGGUAGGCGGAAUGCGUGGUGUAGCGGUGAAAUGCUUAGAUAUCGCGAAGAACUCCGAUUGCGAAGGCAGCGCGCUGGGCUGCAACUGACGCUGAGGCUCGAAAGUGUGGGUAUCGAACAGGAUUAGAUACCCGUGUAGUC
rnacentral:rRNA from 1 species